rnacentral:lncRNA from 1 species
UAUGCCACAGCCACAGCAACUUGGGGUCUUAGCCGUGUCUGCGACCUACACCACAGCUCACGGCAUUGCCGGAUCCUUAACCCACUGAGUGAGGCCAGGGAUCUAACCCUUGUCCUCAUGGAUGCUGCACCAUGACAGAAACUCCGUGGGCUGCUAUUUUAGAUGCAGGACAUCAGGGAAGGCUUUUGGAUGAGGUUGUGAGGCUUGAAUUGAAACCUGAAGGGCUUGGCAAGCCUAUCAUGGAAAGAGCCAGGCUAGACUGUUUCAGGCAUGGGAAUGGCAAGGACCAAGGGCUUGGGACAGGAAAGAGGCCACUGUGCUGCCCUGUGAAAGUGAGGUCAGGGGGUGAGGUGGGGGAAGAGGGAGGAGGCAGCUCAGUAUGCACUGUGUGGUCGGGGUGAGGGGUACCAGUUUUAUGCUGGGUAAAGCAAGAGGUAGAAGGAGAUACUCCUUUCUAUCUGCUCAGAGAGCAGGAGCAUGUGAUGUAAACCACACAUAAGAAAGAAAAACUGUAUGAGAUCCGCUUCCUUCAUCACUGGUCCUGGCAGUGUAGCCCUCACCUGGCAGAUUAAUCAGGCACACAGAGCAGGACAUGUUUGAAUGGAUGGACAUAUGGACAGACAAUUUAGGGACAUACCUCCUGGGGGGACAGAAGCCUAUUAUCUUUUAUUUUUUGAGGUGUUUGUAGAACACAGACAUAAAAUUCCAAGACUAAUACAACAGCCACCCAGAAUUUAUGGCACUUAAUGUUUUGGCAUAUUUGUUUCAGGCCUUUGUGAAGUGUGUGUGUGUGUGUGUGUGUAUGUGAGAGAGAGAAAGGUCUUUUCAAUUCCCAUCCACAUUUGCUUUCUCCAACCUACAGGCAGCCAUGUAGUGCGUUGGCUAUAUAUAUAUAUAUAUUUUUUUUUUGGUCUUUUUAGGGCCACACCCAUGGCAUAUGCAAGUUCCCAGGCUGGGGGUUGAAGUAGAGCUGCAGCUGCCGGCCUAUGCCACAGCAAGACUAGAUCUGAGCCUCAUCUGCGACCUACACCACACCUUGAGGCAACGCCAGAUCCUUAACCCACUGAGUGAGUCCAGGGAUCAAACCCAAGUUCUCAUGGAUGCUAGUGUAGGAUUUAUUACCACUGAGCCACAACAGGAAUUCCAAUGAUGGUUUUUUUUUUGUUUGUUUGUUUGUUUUGUCUUUUUGCCUUUCUUGAGCCGCUCCUGCAGCAUAUGGAGGUUCCCAGGCUAGGGGUCCAAUUGGAGCUAUAGCCACUGGCCUACACCAGAGCCACAGCAACGCGGGAUCCAAGCUGCAUCUGCGACCCACACCACAGCUCAUGGCAACGCUGGAUCCUUAACCCACUGAGCAAGGCCAGGGAUCGAACCCACAACCUCUUCGUUAACCACUGCGCCACGACAGGAAUUCCCCAAUGAUGAUGUUUUGAUCGAUGUUUUUCAUUCCUCUUCUCUGUGACAUCCCGCCACCCCACCCCCACCCUCACCCCAUAGAAUGGAGGCGCCUGUCCUCUCUUCAUUGCCCUCCCCACCCCCAUCCCCCGCCAGGGAGCUCUGCAAGGGAGCAAAGUGUGUAUGAAGGAGGGAGGGAGGGACAGGUUAGUUUCCUGGGCCUGAAACUAAAUGACAGUGUGUGAAACUAAAGCUGGAUUUUGCUGAUCUGUUGGUUCUUACCCAUGUGCACUCUCCACCCCAGCUUUUUUUAAAAAUUUUUUAAUUUUUGUCUUUCUUUUUAGAGCCACACCUAGGGCACAUGGAGGCUCCCAGGCUAGGAAUCCAGUUGGAGCUGUAGCUGCCGGCCUACACCACAGUCACAGCAAUGCAAGAUCUGAGCCACGUCUGUGACCUCUACCACAGCUUACAGCAGUGCUGGAUCCUUGACCCACUGAGCAAGGCCAGGGAUGGAACCCGCAACCUCAUGGGUCCUAGUCAGAUUUGUUUCCACUAUGCUAUGAUGGGAACUCCCCACCCACGCCAACCUUUUAAAAUGUCCAGGCAGGCAAGGUCCUCUCACAGGUGCUUGUGUAUCAGCCCAAGUAGCUACUAAUCCACCUGUGCCACCUUGGCCCGCCCAGGUUCCCCCGUGAUGAAGGGAGCAUCUCUCCUGCUCCAUGGGUGCCCAAAGCUGGGGACAGAUCAAAAGACCCAGGGUUUCUUGGGUCUUGUGUGAACAUAGGGUUUGAUAGGAUGGCAGAUCACAGCCACCAGGCUGAGUACAAAACCCACUUCCCUUCUGCUCUAAUUCUCAACCAGCCCUGAUCCCCCUGGUAGUUUUUCCCCACCUCUAAGUCUCCAGCCCACUGUUCCUUCCUGAUUUUGCUAGACAAAAUCUUUUUUGCUCGUGUGCCUCUAAACCCCAUGUGCAAGCAGAGCUCAGGUCUGUCCUCUGCAUCCAAUCUCCUGCCAGGACCUCCUGGGAUGGAUCGGUGGGUACCAGCAUAUGGAGAAGGUGGCAGUCACUGGCCAGGUGGAUCUCAGCUCAGUUCCACCCGGACGGGCUGCUCCACCACAGGAGGCCAUGGGAGUCACUGAGAGAUGGAAAUGGUUGAUGGCUUUCUUCUCCUGGUAGAAGUUUGUGUUAGAUUUGUUUCUAAUGAUGAAGUUGCACUUAAGUCAUUUUGCAGGUGGGGAGGUCAGGGAGUUGAAUUCAUUCAGAUCAAACUUAACUGGUUUGCAUGAUACUUGUUAGAUUAUCUUUUAAACCCCUCUUUCACCUGAUCUCUGUAUGUGAAAUAGUGAAAUGCUUUCGUAUUUAUCUCCCCGUACCAAGAGAGGUAUGGAUAUGUGGAGAGAUUAAUUUAUUAAAGGGCAAGUGAAGUUAUAGCCCCUUCCCUUUUUUGUUUUUUUAUUUUUAUUUUUAAUCAUUUUGCCAUGUCCACGGCAUGCAGAAGUUCCCGGGCCUGGGAUUGAAUCCCAGCCCCAGCAGUGAAAACGCCCAAUCUUUAACUUCUAGGCCACCAGCCCCUUCAUUUUUUAAAAUAUUACUUUCAACUCUAAUAACUGUUUCUAAAAUUUGACUCUAAGCAUCAGUGAAAUUGGGGACCACGACUGCUUACUCCCGUCAUCCUUUUAGCACCUGGCACCGAGGCACUUAGUGCUGCCGUAAUGCACAAAUAAAGAAUUUAUUGCAGGAUCUGCCACAUUGGAGCUGUCUGCUGGAGGAUGUAUUAUGUAAGAAGCUCGUGUGAAGCUUUAAAAUUGUAUCAGAUGAAGUAGGUGAAGUCCCUAGAGGAGGUGAAUCAGUGGGAGGAGGCUGUGAUGGUUUAUUUCUGUUCCCGCCUGGUACAGGCCCAGGAGGGUCUGCUGGCUGAUCCAAUGUAAAGCCUACAUGGCAGGCUGGGGGGCUGAUGGGCCCACAGCAGACCCAUGGGUUGGAGGCAUGGAGGAAGCCCAGCGGCAGCAGGCCUGGUUUGGCCCCAGGGCUGUGCGUGGGAUGAAAGUUGCAGGCCUCAUGGGCUCGGUAAAGUGGACUGGCCAUGUCCAUUUGGCAUUUAUUACAGCCACAGGGCUGGUUCACGACUCCAGGCGGGGGACAGGGGACUCUCUGCUGAAUUUCUCCUGGCUGCUUCUGUAUGGGCAUUAGCUUGGUUCUUUCCAGACUCUGAUGCAGCCCUAGCAGUUCCCAUGUUUACAUGUUAUAGGCGUGGCCACAGUGGGGGACGGUCCUGAUCCCCGGCCUGGCCCAAAUACUGCAUUGCUGAGCAACAUGAAAUAAUAGUUCCAUCAGCCACAGCCAGGCCUGGGGAUGAAGUCAGAGCCACACAGGACUCCCCAGGGCCCACCUGGUGGCGAUGAGUAAAUAGUCCUAGGGAAGAAAUUUAAUUAGGAAUCCAGUUUACACAGAAAAAUGUCUUUGGUGUUUAAAAUAAUUAAUAUUUUUACAAGUUGCUUUCAGGUUUUCAUUUGACCUGUGGGGGUGCAGGACAGUAGUGGAGCUACAGAAAGAUUAGGCUAGAUAUGUGGGUCCAGAAAAUAGCAAAAUGCGGUGUUGAGAAGAAGUGGGCAUCCGCCAGUUACUCACACUUGAUCUUAUCUUUUUCCAAAGCCUCGGUUUACAGCUCCAAGACGUGGGGGUGAUGAUUCGUGCUUGUCUGUAUCAUAAGAUUCUGCUGAAGAUUAGGUGGGUGGUUUGCCCCAGCCUCUCCUCUUCUCUCAUUCCUUAGGCUGUCCCUAGGUGUCUUAAUUUCUCAGGUGCAGAAUCAGGUGUUUCUCCAUCAAACAACCGAAACUAUCCAGAAAUCUGAUCUCCCACCUUGUUGCACUGGCUUAUUUUUUGGCAGUUUCUCCCUUCUCCUCACUUCAUUUCUGCUUCUCUUGUCUUGGUUUAGGCCAUCAUCUUCUGUUGCUGGAUGCUUUUGUAGCCACUUAACUGAUCAUGCCUUCAGUCUCUCUCUUUUGCACCCAUCCUCCUCUUUGGAGCCAGGAUGAUCUGUUGUGUGUGUGUGUGUGUGUGUGUGUGUACACGUACGUACGUAUGUAUUUAUCCUGUAUGAUAAAAAGUCCUUAGCUCAUUAUUUAAUACAAAA